GGCUAACUCUGUGUUUUCUAUGACUCAUGGCAACAAAUAAACGAAAAAAUAUGAAUAAUUUAUAAAACACCCAGUUCUACUGAAUAGGUUGCAUAUAAAGGCCCUCGAUAAGAUCGGCUUUUUUAGGGUCAGUGGAUGUCAAGCCGAACAAAGCUUUAUGAGAAAGCGACGGCUUGGGCUGGGUUAGUUCUAUAACAAAAAACAACAAUAAGCACUCAAACCGCAUGCAAAAAGGCUUUUGUUGCUUGUUUUCCCUCAUUAAUUUCCACUUUAUUUCUUUCAAAUAAAUUAGACCACCCUCUAAAUUGACUCAUUUAUUUCCUCGAUCGGAAUCGCAGGGUUUAAUGGUUGGCUUGAAUGUUAUAUUUACCAUUAUUAUGACCAAUGCGUUUGCCGUGUUUGAAAAUCGAUCCUAGACGGGCAUUUCCCAGAAUUUAAUUUGUGGCCGAGGGCUUUUUUUCUCCGAACCAUUUCCAUCGAAUUAUGCCAAACAUGUAAGGACCUUGGUCUAAAUAGAAUUUCUAAUGGUGGCAAAUAUUUAUUAUUUACGCCCCUCGCUUUGGUAAAUUACAAACAACGGUGGGUAAGUGAUUGUUUAACAAACGACUAACUGAAAUCAGAUCGAUCCAUGAGGAUGUAAACAAGACUGGUAAUCGGAUAAGCGAGCUUGUUUUUACAAAAUUGCAGCUAAUAGAUGUUGUAAAACAUGCCUGGGAUUAGGUUAAUGGAUGCUGUGAAAUGUUUAAUAUCUGUUGUUUUUGGUUCAACAUAUAAGAAAGGAAUAUUUUCCGUCCAUUGGAUGGAUGGAAAAUAAACGUCGUCGCUCAAUUUGCAGGCACGCCUCGCAAAUUAUCUGCCUUCCAAGUCUGAGCUCAAGUGAGCCAGUAACUAAGUGAAAUUUGCACACCCUAUAGAAGAGGCUUUAAGCUAAGAAUCUUGCAAUUUUUCAGGAAAUUAAGCAAAAUACUGAUUUUUACGAAAUCUGUAAGUAUUGCAAGCGACAGUGUUUAUUUGCCACCCAAUAACACGCACGCAUUUAAAAAAGUUUGCUAUGAAUCCUCAGCUCAUAAUUAAAUGAAAUGAAAAAUGGCCCACCCUAUAGAAGGCAAAUCAACCUAAGAAGCGGGUGAUCUUCGAUAAAAUUGGUUAAUAGACUGAUUUUUGCCAAAUCUGUUAAUAAUGAGCGCAAAAUAACCUUUGUUGCUCAAUUACACGCAAAUAUUUAAAAAAAUUGCUCUGAUACCUGAGCUCAUAAUUAAAUCAAACUCACCCACGCUAUAGAUGGCAAUUCAAGCUAACAAUGCGGUAAUUUUCAACGAAAUUCUGCAAAAAGGCAGAUUUUUGCCAAAUGUGUUACUUAAUGAUAAGCGCAAAUUAAACACUGCCGCUCAAUAACACGCACGCAUUUAAAAAAAAGAAUUCUGAGCUCAUCAUUAACAUAUUAAAACGGCAAUUCGGACUAAAAAUCCUGAAAGUUUGAAUAGAAUUCAGCAAAAGACUGUUUUUUGCCAAAUCUGAUAAA
rnacentral:lncRNA from 1 species